GACGAACGCUGGCGGCGUGCUUAACACAUGCAAGUCGAACGGUGAAGCGCCUUCCUUUUUGGUGGGUGUGGAUGAGUGGCGAACGGGUGAGUAACACGUGAGUAACCUGCCCCCUUCUUCUGGAUAACCGCAUGAAAGCGUGGCUAAUACGGGAUAUUCUGGGUCUGUCGCAUGAUGGGUCUGGGAAAGAUAUUGUUUCGGUGGGGGAUGGGCUCGCGGCCUAUCAGCUUGUUGGUGGGGUGAUGGCCUACCAAGGCGGUGACGGGUAGCCGGCCUGAGAGGGUGGACGGUCACACUGGGACUGAGACACGGCCCAGACUCCUACGGGAGGCAGCAGUGGGGAAUAUUGCACAAUGGGCGCAAGCCUGAUGCAGCGACGCCGCGUGAGGGAUGGAGGCCUUCGGGUUGUGAACCUCUUUCGCCAGUGAAGCAGGCCUGCCUCGUUUGUGGGUGGGUUGACGGUAGCUGGAUAAGAAGCGCCGGCUAACUACGUG
rnacentral:rRNA from 1 species